AUUGAACGCUGGCGGCAUGCUUUACACAUGCAAGUCGGACGGCAGCACAGAGAAGCUUGCUUCUUGGGUGGCGAGUGGCGAACGGGUGAGUAACAUAUCGGAACGUACCGAGCAGUGGGGGAUAACUAAUCGAAAGAUUAGCUAAUACCGCAUAUUUUCUGAGGAAGAAAGCAGGGGACCUUUGGGCCUUGCGCUGUUUGAGCGGCCGAUAUCUGAUUAGCUAGUUGGUGGGGUAAAGGCCUACCAAGGCGACGAUCAGUAGCGGGUCUGAGAGGAUGAUCCGCCACACUGGGACUGAGACACGGCCCAGACUCCUACGGGAGGCAGCAGUGGGGAAUUUUGGACAAUGGGCGCAAGCCUGAUCCAGCCAUGCCGCGUGUCUGAAGAAGGCCUUCGGGUUGUAAAGGACUUUUGUCAGGGAAGAAAAGGGCGGGGUUAAUACCCCUGUCUGAUGACGGUACCUGAAGAAUAAGCGCCGGCUAACUACGUG
rnacentral:rRNA from 1 species